ACGCUGGCGGCGUGCCUAAUACAUGCAAGUAGAACGCUGAAGAGAGGAGCUUGCUCUUCUUGGAUGAGUUGCGAACGGGUGAGUAACGCGUAGGUAACCUGCCUUGUAGCGGGGGAUAACUAUUGGAAACGAUAGCUAAUACCGCAUAACAAUGGAUGACACAUGUCAUUUAUUUGAAAGGGGCAAUUGCUCCACUACAAGAUGGACCUGCGUUGUAUUAGCUAGUAGGUGAGGUAACGGCUCACCUAGGCGACGAUACAUAGCCGACCUGAGAGGGUGAUCGGCCACACUGGGACUGAGACACGGCCCAGACUCCUACGGGAGGCAGCAGUAGGGAAUCUUCGGCAAUGGGGGCAACUCUGACCGAGCAACGCCGCGUGAGUGAAGAAGGUUUUCGGAUCGUAAAGCUCUGUUGUAAGUCAAGAACGAGUGUGAGAGUGGAAAGUUCACACUGUGACGGUAGCUUACCAGAAAGGGACGGCUAACUACGUGCCAGCAGCCGCGGUAAUACGUAGGUCCCGAGCGUUGUCCGGAUUUAUUGGGCGUAAAGCGAGCGCAGGCGGUUUGAUAAGUCUGAAGUUAAAGGCUGUGGCUCAACCAUAGUUCGCUUUGGAAACUGUCAAACUUGAGUGCAGAAGGGGAGAGUGGAAUUCCAUGUGUAGCGGUGAAAUGCGUAGAUAUAUGGAGGAACACCGGUGGCGAAAGCGGCUCUCUGGUCUGUAACUGACGCUGAGGCUCGAAAGCGUGGGGAGCGAACAGGAUUAGAUACCCUGGUAGUCCACGCCGUAAACGAUGAGUGCUAGGUGUUGGAUCCUUUCCGGGAUUCAGUGCCGCAGCUAACGCAUUAAGCACUCCGCCUGGGGAGUACGACCGCAAGGUUGAAACUCAAAGGAAUUGACGGGGGCCCGC
rnacentral:rRNA from 1 species